CAGCCGCCGCGGGAAAACGAAGGGAGCUAGCGUUGUUCGGAAUUACUGGGCGUAAAGGGCGCGUAGGCGGCCAUUCAAGUUAGAUGUGAAAGCCCUGGGCUCAACCUAGGAAUUGCAUUUGAUACUGUUUGGCUUGAGUUCGGGAGAGGUGAGUGGAAUUCCCAGUGUAGAGGUGAAAUUCGUAGAUAUUGGGAAGAACACCAGUGGCGAAGGCGGCUCACUGGACCGACACUGACGCUGAGGCGCGAAAGCGUGGGGAGCAAACAGGAUUAGAUACCCCAGUAGUCCCUGUCUCUUAUAC
rnacentral:rRNA from 1 species